UACGUAGGUGGCGAGCGUUGUCCGGAUUUACUGGGCGUAAAGGGAGCGUAGGCGGGCUUUUAAGUGAGAUGUGAAAUACUCGGGCUCAACUUGAGUGCUGCAUUUCAAACUGGAAGUCUAGAGUGCAGGAGAGGAGAAUGGAAUUCCUAGUGUAGCGGUGAAAUGCGUAGAGAUUAGGAAGAACACCAGUGGCGAAGGCGAUUCUCUGAACUGUAACUGACGCUGAGGCUCGAAAGCGUGGGGAGCAAACAGG
rnacentral:rRNA from 1 species